rnacentral:lncRNA from 1 species
AGUCUGAGACCGUCGAUCCUGCAAGCCAUUCAGGUGCUUAAGUUCGAGGGUGCGGCCCCAAAUCUUCCAAAGAAGAUGCCGGUGGCGAUGUACUACGCAGCACCAGAUGGGCGUGAGCUCAGUUCUGGUUCUGGAGGUGCUUCGUUGACUUAGGUGUUGUUUGUUUUUUCGAAGUGAAAAUUCAUGAAGUCUGCGGACCACCUCUGCAAUCCUCUGUAGCAGAAGAGGUGGAACAAACGGCUGCAGCCUAUAAUAAGAAGCAUGUUUGUUUUUUAACAUCUGCAGACUGCUGCAGUAAACUGAAAUUUAAAUAAACUAAUUUUAUAAAUUGAAAAUAGUUAUCAACAUCGAAAUUUAAUAAUUCUAGUUUUAACACAUUGAAAUAAUAAUAAAAAGAACAUAUAAAAAACAAAAAUAUAAAACUUUUUUUUAAAAAAAAAACUUAAAAAAAUGUAAAAGAAGCUAAUAGUUUUAUUCUAGAAAAAAAAACUAAUUUUAAAAAAAAAUUAAAAAAGAAAAUAAUAAAAAAAUUAAGAAAAUAUUGCAAACGAUGUCUACAAAGUUCGUAAAAAAUUACACACCUUAAAAAGAUGCAACUGAAAUUGAAAAUAUUAUUAACAAAACGGUAAAAAAAAAUUAAAAAAAUCAAGUUAAAAAAAAAUCAUUGAAAUUAUAAAAAUAAAUUGUAUCACAUCCGUAAAUAAAAAUUUAAGAAAAUCAAAGUUUAAAAAAAAAAGUUAUACAAAAAUUCUUAAAAAAACACUUAAAAAAAUGAAAGUUGAAGAGGUUAGAAGAGGCAAGUCAAGUGCUGCGCCACACAGCACACGCGCAGAGGUUUUGUAGUCUGAAGUCUUCCAAAAAACAAACUGCUGCGAGAGUUAAAGUGCUGCGCGUGUGCUGCGCCGCGCAGCAAUAAGUGGUUUGAAGAGGUUUUUAUAGAAAAACAAACAGCACCUUACACUAGCAUCGAUCUCGUGCGUUGAAUGUGGAUCGCUUCAGUUUAGCUAUUCGUUAAAAGUUAAAACCAAAAGCAUCCUUCGUAGUUUGUACUAUAUAUCGUUAAACAAUUUCCUUGUAAUGUAUUUUUAUUUUUCACAUAUACAACUUUACUAUGUUUUUCUUUAUUUAUAAU